ACCCGCUGUUCGGAGCAAAAGUGGGAACAAGUAUGGACACAAUUGUGUGGUUGCUGCGGGGUCUGGCGAUGUCGACAGGCCCCGAUUUUUAUU
rnacentral:sRNA from 1 species